CACGUAGGGUGCGAGCGUUGUCCGGAAUUAUUGGGCGUAAAGAGCUCGUAGGCGGUGUGUCGCGUCGGCCGUGAAAACCUGCAGCUUAACUGUGGGCUUGCGGUCGAUACGGGCAUCACUGGAGUUCGGCAGGGGAGACUGGAAUUCCUGGUGUAGCGGUGGAAUGCGCAGAUAUCAGGAGGAACACCGGUGGCGAAGGCGGGUCUCUGGGCAGUAACUGACGCUGAGGAGCGAAAGCGUGGGGAGCGAAC
rnacentral:rRNA from 1 species